AGCACCAGCAGGGGUUGGCUAAGUGAGUGGCUGCUGGGGCCGGGCCUGCCCAAGCCACUGACUGCACCAAAUCAGUCAGCCUGACCAGAAGAGCUGCUUGUUUAUAGAGGGACAUCCCUCAGGCAUCCCCAAAGCUUCGGGCCUUUUCAAUGGAUGUUUAUAAAAGGAAGCUCAGAGGCCCUUUAUCUCUUGUGAGAAAACAAGAGCCAAGGUCUGUACUAAAAAUGGCACAGAAGGAAGCAAAAACUCUUUCUGAAAAAGUUACGUUAAGUACCAAUCAGUUCUGCAGUGGACAUCCAUCCAGUGUCCUCUAGUCCAGUUAAGUUCUGACACUUGCUCUCUGGAGGAAGCAUCAGAUUCCGUGGAUUGGACACUCAAACCCCUAGACCAACCUUCUCUUCACACGCCAGUCACAAGACCCAGCUUGUAACCUGUGCUUCUGGUCAACUGGCUAGCUGCCAAUCAAGAUCCUACAACCUCUCAACCAGUUGGGCUUUUUUGCAAGGCAGCUCAGGGAAGUACUUACACGCUCAGGUUUACCGUAAAGCAUAUCGCAGAGGUUGUAGGAGCUGCACAGUGUGAGGCCUAUAAGCUUCCAUGUCCUCUGUUGGUGCAAGGCACUGGGGAUGCUCUAAAUCCUAUCCUUUUGAAGAGCUCCCUACACAAGUAUACUUGAAACAUCAACAGCCACAUUGAAAUGUGAUUGAAGAAAGAGGGUACGAUCCAACGCUUGAGCCAUGGGUUUCUGUGAGGGCCACGCGUCCUGUUUACAGAAUGGUUUCCAAUGGUUUCACUGGCCACACUGAGACUCAGGUCUGACUUCACAUCCUCUUCCUGAAGGGAACCCCCCGCAAGCCUUCCUUUUUUGGUGCUCUAAGCUGAGAAUCUGAACUUUGUAUACUGGAAUCUUGGGGUUUCCUCUACUUCUUACCUGAGAUCAGGGUUGGAAAUCAAAAGCCAGGAUGUCUGACUCCCUUUCUCCCCAGAACCCACAGGGUCUUUGGGCUAGAGACAAGGGUCUCCAGGCAAUCAGCCACACUAGGUUGUCUUUUCUACCUCUUUUAACAUAAUGCCCAACCAUCAAAGGAGGAAAAUUCAUUAUCAUCCAGCUGAUCUCCCAGCACCAGAAGAGACUGUACAUCUGGGGGUUUCCAUGGCAUUUCAAGGGAAGUUCCCCACAGUAUCAUAGUCACACCUACUCAGCUUGCCCUAGCUGACCAGCCCUACAAGGAAAAUCAGUACCAAGAUUUCUGAUUCCUUUCAAGGACCUCCAAGGCUGUUUGUAUAGAAUCUGCUUCGGGUUUCCUAAGUGCCUGGGAUUUGAAGGGCAGCUUCCCACUGGGCAAAUGAAAAGGCAGAACCAGGUACAGAGCCACCAGAGGCUUCCCAGAUCUACCUCUGAUUGGGGCACUGAACACUCACAGGCCAGUAGGACUUCUCUUAGCAAAGAUCCUAAAGCUUUCGUCCUAGAACAUGGCACCCUAUAAAAGUUCCCUGACCUGAUCAGUGACCCUGGAAUACCUGAAAAGAUCUACAAGACCUGGCUUCCCAGCCCUGAGCACAGGACCCCAGCUUCUGGAUCACCUCACCAUAGCUUCAAUUCAAAGAACACACUUCUUUACUGGACCUGCCCCCAGCUGUCCCUCCACAUGCACAGCAGAGUGAUUCUCACCUUGAAGGCCCCAUGGUCAAGAAGACCUGACACAACUUCAUAAAGAGGGUACCUAUUAUCUUCUGUUAUUAUUUAACUUCUCAGAAUACCUGAAGCUUCAUGGACCCUACCAUACCCCCUUUGUCCUAGGUCAUCUUGUGAACAAAGUGCAACACACAUAACCUUGGACACC